rnacentral:tRNA from 1 species
GCCCUCUUAGCUCAGUGGUAGAGCGCGUCACUAGUAUUAGGACCAACACUUUUUUAAGUAAAAUGACGAGGUUCAAGUCGGCUAGAGGGAA